AACUCAGGUUUUCUGCAUCUUGUCUGAGUGCUUUAUCUACUUCUGUGCCCUUUGGAAAACUCGCUAGCUGUUUCCUGGACUCCUGAGCACACUGAUUCUGAAGAUGCUACCCAAAAUGCUCUGAGGAUAAUCUUUUUAACAUGGACAGAUUCACCAGGUGCUCCUGAGGUCUGUUGUUAUGCAAGCAGCUGUCUCUCAAAGGUCCCAGUUUCUCCACGGAUGGGACUCCUCUUUCUACAAGGGCUCACAGUUAUUUAACUACGCUACACUUUUCCUGGUGCCAAUGUUCAGUUGAGCAGAAGUGAAGCUGGAGAGUAUCCUGAUUGCAUGAAUGAUAUGCAUAGAAACUCUCAUCACUUGAGGAGUCCAUUACGGAAUUAUAUCUUUAACUCACGUGCAAAACUAAUCAUAUGAAGAAUGUUCAUGCUGUAGUUGGUUGAGAAGAACAAUACAGUAAAUGGCCUUCCUUCUCUACCAGUUAGUUGAGAUCUUCUGUGCCAGAGGAGCUUUUGAUUAUGAUCUGGAUUCACAAUUGAUAGAGAAUAUUUGGAAUCUGAUCCAAUACCUAAGUCUAAAAGAGCUGUGGAUAAGAAGGGAAGCCUGUAUGGCUAAAAGCAAGCGAAGGAGGUCAUUAGAAGUAAAAAGACAUUGUUCAGUAAGUGAAAAUCCAAGUGAAGAACAUAGACAAAAUAAUAAAGCUUCUGGCAAGCUUAAUUUGAAGUCAUAAUAAAACUAGCCGAGAAAGAUUCUGAGGAGCAAGGGUGUAAGACAUGAUAAUAAAAACUUUUUUAAGUACAUCAGAAACAGGAAGUUUGCCAGCAAAUUGAUGGAGCCAAUAUAUUACUGGAAUGCAAAAAGACCACUUUAAAAAUAUAGGUCUUCAACAAAAAGAUUCAACAGAUGUUCAUUAUGGAGAGGCUUGAGGAAGUUCCCCUGUUGGAGCCAUACUUUGUUGAGGUCUGCCAUGAGAAGCUAGAUAUUCCGUGAGGUCGCUUCCAACACAAACCUUUUUAUGAUUCUGUUCUGUUAAGUGGUUUGAUAGUAACGGAGAUGAGAAUUAAUCAAAGGGAUAUGGGCUACAGUGGAAAAGUGCAACUUGCACAAAAGCUCUAAGGAAUCUCAAAGAGUAGUCAACUAUUCUUGUAUCUCUGCGCUUAAGAAAGUUUUAGGGGUGUAUGACAAUCUGUAUGUGAUACUGCUUUUAGGAAAGUGUUUGGGACAGUCAGGAAAGUACAGAUUUGCAGAUGACUUCCAUACUUCUGUAAUCCUCCCUUACUGUAGUAAAAGCAAGGCAAAGAAAAGAAACAAACCUAUGCUUAUCAGAGAGCAAAAGAGAUCGAGUUUGAGGCCCGUUUAUUUUGUAUGGGUAAUUUAAAUGAGGCAAAUAGCAAGAUCUGGGGGGUCAUUUAUUGACUGACACUUACUGCGAUACUGGAUGUAUAUUCAUUUGGCAUAUGAGAAUGAAAUUCUUUGAAAAUAUUCUGCGUAGUUACUUAGAUGCCAUUGGUUUUAAAUGUUUUUCAUUCUUUUUAACAUAAUUGUGUGCUAUGGCACAGUUCUGUUUCCUGUGUGCUUCAAGGCACUUUACUUUCCAAUUGUGGUAAGCUUUCAACCUGAAAUGUAAGGUCAUGAGGGAGGCAAGAAUCUUACAGAAGAUAAACUAAUAAAUAGCUCUCAAUAAUUUGGUUAAGUUAAAAGAUACAUGUAGCCAUCUACUUCCAAACAGCAAAGGAUGAAUCAAAAACACCAAAAGCUGGCUUGUUCUUUUUCUGAGUAAGGCAGUACUAUGUCUAGUUUUUUACAGCAAAACAAUUAUUCCUAUGUAAUUGUUCCAAAUUCAAUUUAAAAGUAAUACUGUUUUUUAUCACUGCUUGGCUUUUGACAGGAAACUGCCUUCUAUUCUAGUUUAAAGCCUUACCAGACCCUGAGUCUAAAUCAGUCUCAUGCACUGCACAGUUGGGAUAAAGAGUGAAAGGGAGGAAGUAAUAGUACCUAAAAAUCAAAUGGGGACUGUGAGACAUUUGGUGGUUCAUAUGUCUGGGAGAAAUGCUGGUGUUCCCACUUCCCUAUAGAACUGAUCUGGCUGAUUUGAGAGACAGGCCUCAGCUCUGUUCCCCAUCCCUGGUACUCAAGGGAAAAAUAAGGAUAAAGUUUAUUGUAAGUGAUAUUUUUGGUUAAGACGUACAACGGCCACCUGGUCCCUGCCUGAUUGCCAGCACAAACCAGAGCAGACAGUUCAUAUCCCAUUUCCCCUGCUCCUACUGGAGCUCUGGAAAGCAACAACAACAACAAAAAAAGUGUAGAGCUGUGCACAUAAUCUUUUCUUCAAGUCCUCUUUCAUUUCUUGGUUCAAAAUCUGCCAUCAGUGUGGGGGCCAGAAGCAUGACUGUGGAAAGAGACACUUUUCUGCCUAUCUUGUGUCUCCUCAGAGGCUUCUGCAUAGAAUAUAAUUUAAUGUGGCCGUUUUUGCCUUCUAUACACAAACUAUCCUCUGACCUGUAAUUUGGUAAGAUCUAUGUUGGUAGAGCUGCAUUCAAUAAUAGCCCAGUCAAAGCUCUGACUACUGUGCAAUAAAAUUCUUUUUAUCUGUGCCGUACUAUGCUGUGGCUUAGAAGUAUUUUGAAUGUCAAGAUGUUGCCAAAGAUGCCUGUUGAUAUAAAGCAGAU
ensembl:lncRNA